rnacentral:rRNA from 1 species
GACGAACGCUGGCGGCGUGCCUAACACAUGCAAGUCGAGCGGGGUUGAAGCGAGAGGUAACUCGAACUUCUACCUAGCGGCGGACGGGUGAGUAACGCGUGGGCAACCUGCCUCAAGGUCUGGGAUAACAGCCCGAAAGGGUUCUGCUAAUACCGGGUAUGCUUGUGGCCUCGCAUGGGGCUACGAGCAAAGGGGAAACCCGCCUUGAGAUGGGCCCGCGUCCCAUCAGCUAGUUGGUGAGGUAACAGCUCACCAAGGCGACGACGGGUAGCCGGCCUGAGAGGGUGACCGGCCACACUGGGACUGAGACACGGCCCAGACUCCUACGGGGGGCAGCAGUGGGGGAUCUUGCACAAUGGGCGAAAGCCUGAUGCAGCGACGCCGCGUGAGCGAAGAAGGCCUUGGUUGUAAAGCUCUGUCUGGUAGGGACGAAGGAAGUGACGGUACCUCCGGAGGAAGACCACGGCUAACUACGUAG